rnacentral:rRNA from 1 species
UGGAUUAGUGGCGAACGGGUGAGUAACACGUGAGUAACCUGCCCUCCACUUUGGGAUAACUCCGAGAAAUCGGGGCUAAUACUGGAUAUGACCUUGGCCCGCAUGGGUUGUUGUGGAAAGUUUUUCGGUGGGGGAUGGGCUCGCGGCCUAUCAGUUUGUUGGUGAGGUAGUGGCUCACCAAGGCGAUGACGGGUAGCCGGCCUGAGAGGGCGACCGGCCACACUGGGACUGAGGCACGGCCCAG